rnacentral:rRNA from 1 species
GUGCCAGCAGCCGCGGUAAUACGUAGGGGGCAAGCGUUGUCCGGAAUUAUUGGGCGUAAAGCGCGUGUAGGCGGUCCGAUAAGUCGGCUGUGAAAGUCCAGGGCUCAACUCUGGAAUGCCGGCCGAUACUGUCGGACUAGAGUCCGGAAGAGGCAAGUGGAAUUCCCGGUGUAGCGGUGAAAUGCGCAGAUAUCGGGAGGAACACCAAUGGCGAAGGCAGCUUGCUGGGACGGCACUGACGCUGAGACGCGAAAGCGUGGGGAGCAAACAGGAUUAGAUACCCGGGUAGUCC